rnacentral:rRNA from 1 species
UACGUAGGGUGCGAGCGUUAAUCGGAAUUACUGGGCGUAAAGUGUGCGCAGGCGGCCGCGCAAGUCGAGUGUGAAAGCCCCCGGGCUUAACUUGGGAAUUGCGCUCGAAACUACGUGGCUGGAGUGUGGCAGAGGAAGGUGGAAUUCCACGUGUAGCGGUGAAAUGCGUAGAGAUGUGGAGGAACACCAAUGGCGAAGGCAGCCAUUCUGG